ACCCCAAACCGACACAGGUGAUCAGGUAGAGAAUACCAAGGCGAUCGAGAGAACUGUGGUUAAGGAACUCGGCAAAAUGCCCCCGUAACUUCGGGAGAAGGGGGACCAUGCCCGGUGAACAUCUUCACGGUGGGAGCUGGGUGUGGUCGCAGAGACCAGAGAGAAGCGACUGUUUACUAAAAACACAGGUCCGUGCGAAGACGUAAGUCGAUGUAUACGGACUGACGCCUGCCCGGUGCUGGAAGGUUAAGAGGACCGGUUAGCCGUAAGGCGAAGCUGAGAAUUUAAGCCCCAGUAAACGGCGGUGGUAACUAUAACCAUCCUAAGGUAGCGAAAUUCCUUGUCGGGUAAGUUCCGACCUGCACGAAUGGCGUAACGACUUCUCUGCUGUCUCGACCACAGACUCGGCGAAAUUGCACUACGAGUAAAGAUGCUCGUUACGCGCGGCAGGACGAAAAGACCCCGGGACCUUUACUAUAGCUUGGUAUUGGCGUUCGAUUCGGUUUGUGUAGGAUACGUGGGAGACUGUGAAGCAUGCACGCCAGUGUGUGUGGAGUCGUUGUUGAAAUACCACUCUGAUCGUAUUGGACGUCUAACCUCGGCCCAUGAUCUGGGUUAGGGACAGUGCCUGGUGGGUAGUUUAACUGGGGCGGUUGCCUCCUAAAGAGUAACGGAGGCGCCCAAAGGUUCCCUCAGCCUGGAUGGCAAUCAGGUGUUGAGUGCAAGUGCACAAGGGAGCUUGACUGUGAGACUGACACGUCGAGCAGGGACGAAAGUCGGGACUAGUGAUCCGGCACCGGCAAGUGGAAGCGGUGUCGCUCAACGGAUAAAAGGUACCCCGGGGAUAACAGGCUGAUCUUCCCCAAGAGUCCAUAUCGACGGGAUGGUUUGGCACCUCGAUGUCGGCUCGUCGCAUCCUGGGGCUGGAGUAGGUCCCAAGGGUUGGGCUGUUCGCCCAUUAAAGCGGCACGCGAGCUGGGUUUAGAACGUCGUGAGACAGUUCGGUCUCUAUCCGCCGCGCGCGUAAGAAACUUGAGGAAGGCUGUCCCUAGUACGAGAGGACCGGGACGGACGAACCUCUGGUGUGCCAGUUGUUCCACCAGGAGCAUGGCUGGUUAGCUACGUUCGGAAGGGAUAACCGCUGAAAGCAUCUAAGCGGGAAGCCUGUUCCAAGAUGAGGUUUCUCACCACCUUGCGUGGUUAAGGCCCCCUACAGACCAUGGGGUUGAUAGGCCGGAACUGGAAGCGCAGCAAUGCGUGGAGGUGACCGGUACUAAUAGGCCGAGGGCC
rnacentral:rRNA from 1 species